rnacentral:tRNA from 1 species
GGCUCCGUAGCACAGCGGCUAAUGCACCGGACUGUCUCUCCGGGUAUCACGGGUUCGAGUCCCGUCGGAGUCGCCA